CCAAGCACCCGGAAGGCUGUGACCCCAAGGCUUGAGCAGCGCCAAGCUUGAAGCAGGUGUUAGAGAUUCAUAGGGACUGAUUCCGGGAGCCUUGAGGGACUGGAGAGAGAUGCUGGUAUAGAUCACGGGUACCGGAUGCAGCAGAGCCAUGCUCGUGCUGGCACGGACAGUGGAAGAAAACACAGAAGAACUAGCCGUUUUCAACGGAGGAAAUGAUGGAGCAGACACGUGCGUGCGCAUCUUCAAGAAUCUCUUCUUGUUCUGCAAUGAAGAAAUGAUCCAGCAAAGGAAUCCUGCUGCAUCAGGAGUAGGAUCAACAGGAUAGAUCAACUUGCCAGCAAGAAGGAAAGCAAGCAGGCAAAGCAAGAGCUUCCUUCUUCCACAUCUUUUCAUCUGGCCUGCCACUGGAAGAUGCCACCAUCAAUUAGGGCAAGCCUUCCAAGGACAAGAAAAUCUCUCAGCUGUGUGCUCAGCCACUCACCUUGAUUCCAGAUCCAAUCAAGUGGACGUUUAACCAUCACAGUGUGUGCAGACUGAAAGUUGCUAAUUAGAUGUGAUCACAUCCCGACCUGUUCUUGGCAGAGGAGAGAACAUGGGACUCUACUCACCUUCAAGAUUCAAGCAUGGCUCCCAGAAGCUGUUUGGCCUACCAUGAAACACCAAGAGGAGGUUUGGACAAAAGGGCUAUCAUCCCAAAUAUGCACUCCCAACCCCUAAGACCUGCUAGAGACCUUUAUCCAUGGGUGCUUGAAAGACAGGAGGUCCCUUUGACACGAAAAGAGAAUGGAAUGCUCUGUUCUUUAUAUGUCCCUUUACUGGGUGUCCUCAAGCAGUCACCUAAACUCUCUUAAUCCCUAAAACCAGGUGAAAGAGCCUCCCAUGGUUAAAAGUUGAGAGGAUUAAAUGAGGAAAAUGGGCAUCUGGCAAGGUGUCUGCUGCAAGUAGCUUCCUCUCUGUGACAGUUCAUAUUGAUUGACAGUUUGAGUGGAUAGAGAAUUACACAGGAAAGAAACCUCCAAGCUCGAACCUCAGGGAGUUCUUAGAUUGUGGGCUAGAGUUGUACGAGCUGGGCUCCUAGACCGAAUAAAAAGGAGGGCAUGAGCUGAGCACCUGAAGUUACCUUCUUCCUGACUGAGGAUGUAAUGUGACCUGCUGUUUCACACUCCUGCUGUAAUGAUUCAGUGUGAUCCACUGCCGCACACUCCUGCUGCAGUGAUGCAGUGUGACUGCUGUCUCACACUCCUGCUGCAGUGAUGCAGUGUGAUCCACUGUCUCACACUCCUGCUGCAGUGAUGUAGUGUGACUGCUGUCUCAGACUCCUGCUGUAAUGAUUUAGUGUAACCACUGCCACACACUCCUGCUGCAGUGAUGCAGUGUGAUCCACUGCCUCACACUCCUGCUGCAGUGAUGAAGUGUGAUCCAUUGCCUCACACUCCUGCUGCAGUGAUGCAGUGUGACUGCUGUCUCACACUCCUGCUGCAGUGAUGCAGUGUGACUGCUGUCUCACACUCCUGCUGCAGUGAUGCAGUGUGACUGCUGUCUCACACUCCUGCUGCAGUGAUGCAGUGUGACUGCUGUCUCACACUCCUGCUGCAGUGAUGCAGUGUGACUGCUGUCUCACACUCCUGCUGCAGUGAUGCAGUGUGACUGCUGUCUCACACUCCUGCUGCAGUGAUGCAGUGUGAUCCACUGCCUCACACUCCUGCUGCAGUGAUGCAGUGUAACCUGCUGCCUCAUGGUCCUGCUGCUGUGACUUUCUGCCAUGAUGCACUAUACUCUCAAAGUGUGAGCCAGAAUAAACCCUCCUUUGUGUUGGUUCAGGUCAGGUGUUUGAUCACAGCAAAGGAAAGUGUAAAUGAUUGUUCUUUUCCCUGGAAUGUGGAGCUCUGGGGUAAGAUGAAACCAGGCCUUUGCCUGGAAAGUAGACAGAGGAUUUUGCAUAGGGGUUCCAAUUUCUCCACAAUCUCACCAACACUAUUCAUUUUCUUCCUUUCCUUUCCUUUCCUUUCCUUUCCUUUCCUUUCCUUUCCUUUCCUUUCCUUUCCU